AGAGAGAGAGAGAGAGAGAGAGAGUGGGUGACGCAACACAAGUGGAUGACAAGGACAGAGGAAAGAGCUGAGAGAUAAAAGAAAGAAGAAAAGAAAAGAGAGCAGGGGCACGUAUCAAAAGUAAUGGAAAAACGAAGUUACAAAAGAGGAAAAUAGAGGUAGAGGAAAGAGAAAUGGAAUAUAAUUAGAUUAUUAUGAGGAAAAAGUAUAAAAAGGAAAGAAGCAAGAGGCAGAAAGAGAAAGAGGAAGAAAAAAGAAGAAAAGGAGUAAGGAGAAAGAAGAAAGAAGAAGAGGAGGAAAAGACAGAUGAAAGGAAGACGAGAGACAGAGAGGAGAAAGAAGAUGAAUCAAGAGCAAAAUGAAGAGUAAAGGGAAAACAGAAAAAAAUAAUGAAAAAGUGGAAAAGAAAGUGGAAAAAUGGAGUGAAAGAAGAUAUAUAUUAAGAUGGUGGAAGAUGAAGAAAGUGAGGGGGAAAGAAUAAAAGAGAUAAAGAAGAGGAGAAAGAAGCAGAAAGAUGAAGAGCAGACAGAAAUAGAGAAAAAGGAAAGAAAAAGGAAUUGAGGAAUUGAACCAGAAGAAGAGAACAAGAAGGAAAAUUGGAAAAUGAGGAAGAGGAAGAGAGGAAGAAGAUGCAAAGAAAGAAAGUGGAAGUGAAAGAGUGCUGUAUCGAUAUGAUGCAUCUCCAAGGUCAUGGACGCCUGCGGGACCUUGGAGGAGAAAGAGGGGAAACGAGACGUGCUCCACCAGUCAGAGAUCUGGAUGCCAACUGGCUAGCUGGGAACCAAAGGCCAGAGAUUAGGACGUGAAGCCAGACAGCUGACUGUCGACAAAGUCUGGGCUGUGACGGUGGCAGAUUUUUACCACCAUGGCGGUAAUGGACCAACAACCAGCAACUUUUGGUGCUUUUGUCAGUGUGGGCAGGUGCCAAAUCCUGCUGGAAAAUGAAAUCAGCAUCUUCAAAAAUCUGCUCAGCAUAAGGAAGCAUGAAGUGCUCCAAGAUUUCUUGGUAAAUGGGUGCAGUGACUUUGGUUUUCAAAAAACACAAGGGACCAACAUCAGCAGUUGACAUUGCACCACAAAUCAUCACAGACUGUGGAAACUUAACACUGGACUUCAAGUAACUUGGGCUAUGAGCUUCUCCACCCUUCCUCCAGACUCUAGGACCUUGGUUUCCAAAUGAUACACAAAACUCGCUCUCAUCAGAAAAGAGGACUUUGGACCACUAGGCAACAGUCCAGUUUUUCUUCUAUUUAGCCCAGGAAAGACGCCUAUGACGUUGUCUGUGGUUCAGCAAAUUCCUCGACACGUCUGUGUGUGGUGGCUCUUGAUGCCUUGACCCCAGCCUCAGUCCAUUCCUUGUGAAGUUCACUCAAAUUCUUUCGAUUUCGCGUCACAAUCCUCAUAAGGAUGCGGUUCUCUCUGUUGGUUGUGCAGCUUUUUCUUCCACACUUUUUUUCCUUCCACUCAACUUUCUGGUAACAUGCUUGGAUACAGCACUCUGUGAACAGCCAGCUUCUUUGGCAAUUAAUGUUUGUGUCUUAACCUCCUUGUGA